CUGUGCCAGCUGCUUGCAAUACAACGCACUUCUUCUUGCCCAUCCUUGUGUAGACAUGUUUGCUUAUUGUAUUUUCUUUUCAAUGAAGAGGUCGCAUGUGUGACAUAUGUGUGACAUAUGUGUACAGAUAUGUCUUCUCAGCUCUUCGGAGAGGUGUUGUCUCCAUCUCUUUUUCUGCCCAGCACUUGUGGAUCUUAGUUCUAGCAGACACCUCAAAGCAUUUUGCAGGAAGAUUAUUCACAUCGACCAGAGGAAGAUCAGCACCAGACGCUUCCUCUAUUAAUUUUUUUUAAUGAGUUACUUUUUUCCUACUUGUAUCCAUCUUUUUGCUAUGCCCCAGUGACACUGUUGAAACUUGUUAUUGAUGGUUAUGAAAGGAGAGAUCUCUUGGUUAAUUUUUCCUAAGGUGCUGUCUAAGAUUCUUUUUUCUGUUUUCGCAGUGUCUCAAAGCUGAAGAUAUGGCUAAUGCUGUCAUAUAUGUCCUCAGUGCCCCACCUCAUGUACAGAUUGGAGAUAUACAGAUGAGGCCCACGGAGCAGAUAUCAUAGCAAAUGAAGAGGACCGUGAGCAGCACCAUGAAUCCACUCCACUUGGAACCCUCUGGCAAUGUAGGGGUUUCGUCAGCUGGCUAGCAACAAUUUAUUCAAGUACCGAGGAUCGUGUUUGAAGAAUUAUUUUUCUCUCCCUCUCUCUCAGCUGGUGCUGGUACGGAGCCAGUUUUAAAAAAUAUAUAUAUAGUAGUGGGUCUCUUUCUCCCCUACUCCUUUUGGAAACUGCAUAAGAGUAAAAUGUGUUUGAAAAUAAUGCAGGGAAGUGGUUUGUGGAAGAUUGUCUCCAGACUGGUUUAUUCUUCUUUUUGCUUUCUUUUCAAGGUUUGUUUGAUCUUAUUUGAUGUCUGGACAUAGAUGAAGUGGCACAAGGUGUUUGCCAGCUUCCAUGUGCUUAGGGUUUGAGAUUUCCAGUGGAUGUCAUCCAUUUAAUUUUUACGUUUCUUCUCAUCAUUUUGAUGCUUAUUUGGUAACGAUGGAUGUGAUAUUUUCUUCUCUCAUAUCCCACUGCCCUAAAGCCAGUGUACAAACUCACCCUGCCUCCCAAAACCCUCCUUUUGUGUUCAUAUGAAUUGUGCCUGCCAAGUUUGAGGAGGUAUAUCUGUGUGUGCUUGCUGUUUCUUUCUUUCUAGGUAAGUAGGUAAAUAGUUUUGGGAAAAGUACCUGUAUUUUUGCAGGUUAGAAUGAUCUUCUAAGUGGCAUAGGUACAGUAAGAGUGAGUUGUUUGGUAUUUUUAAUAAAAAUUAAAUGUGCUGUCUUGUGACCACCUUUGUGGUAUCAUCCUUGGUAUCAUCUCCCAGCACUCUUGUUGGUUUUUUGUAUGUUUGAUAUUUGCAUGCAUUGACGCUUUUUGGAAGUACUGAUCAGUCUUCAAAAGAUGUAUGAUGCUGUUUAAAUGCUGAUCACUCUUAAGUUGGUAAUAUUGGAAUUUUGUUUAUAUGCAGAGAUACAAACUCAGAGAGAGAGAGAGUGAAAUGAACCAUGCUGAAGCUGUCCGAAGUGAAAAGAUGUUAGUAGGGGCAUUUGCCUACAGAGCAGUAGGUAAAAGGUCUGCUUUACAUCUGCUGGUUCUACGCCAGUGUGGCCCAGUUGUUUUGCUCUGGGUUUACUCUAACUCGAGGGAGGGGGGAGUUGGCAGCAUAGCUGGUACUUGCACAGCUGGAGACCACUUGAGUUGUUUUAUUUACUUUUAUAGUGUGGCAGAAACAUAUCUGCAUGUAGCCCAACUUGAUUUGGAGCUGUUAACGUACGUGUUGCCUUAAGACUGCAGAGUCUCUCCUGCUGUGCUUUGAAUUUCCUGUAGAACCUUGGCAGGUGAACACUUUGUUGUAGGUGGAGCAGGUAUGAUCAGUUGAUCUGAGUGGAGGACUGAGAACCAGAGAAACUUGGUUUGGACUGUUUUGCUUAUGCCAGUGUAGCUCUGUGGGAGUUAAUUUGUGUUAAAACUCCAUAAGGGAGACCAGAACCGGGCCAACACAUCACGAAUUUCAACUCCCUAUAUAACCUUGGGCAAGUUGCUUUACCUCUCUGCCUCAGUUGACCCAUCUGUAAAAUGGGGAUAAUAAUACUUACCUACCUCACAGGGGUGUUGUGAGGACUCGCAAGCUGUUUUGUAAAGCACUUUGAAUAUGAGAAGCGCUAUGUAAGUGCAGAGUGUUGAUAUGAAGUAUUAUUAUUAAAUCUUGUGAUACAUAGAAUUCCUUGUGCCAAAGGUGAGCAAGCAUAGAAGGCUACAAGGGGGAAAGUGGUAAAGCAUUCCCUCGUAAUGGUAAAAACAAAGGCAAUUUGGCCCCUUUUUUUUCCUCUUUAUAAAUACACUCUCAUGGUGUGUUCUGUCCCUCAUCUGUCACCAGUUUCUGCUAGCAAGUACACGUAACCUUGUCUCUGGAUUUGGCCUUUUAAUUUACUGUGAGUGAAAUUCGUGCCCGUGGCAAAGUCUUGCACUACUCUGAUGUGCUGCCCUCCUCUGCUUAGCUGAGGCAGUGGCUCUGUGUAGGUUCUUGGUACAGAGCUGACUUUCACCAGCAGUGUUGAGUUAGAUCGUGUCCCGCAUGGAGCAGCCAGGCCAGGUCUGCACACAGCCAGUGAUGCUCCGUGCAGCAGAGAAAGCCUGUGCUUGCUGGAAAAGCUCUUCAGCCUCCAUGCUGCUGUGGUCCUUGAUCCAGAGGCGUUUUGCUAAGGAAGGUCCAAGCACAGUUGUGCUUUCUAUAACCCCCCUGUGAUGUUCAGCUGUACUUAAUAUGAAAACUCGGGGUGUUUUCCAUAGGUUUUCUUUCAGGGGAGAUUGUUUAAAUUCAACAGGUGCAGUGUGCACCAUUUUUUAAAAAGAGAAGACAGCUGAACUAGAAGUUGAGAGCCAAAACAGAAAGAGUUAAGAAAUUAGGAACUUCAGAGCAUUAAAAAAAAAUAGGCAAGUCUGUGGGAAGCACUAGUGAAAUAUCUGAAUUGGUGGCUGUAACUGUGUGCGAAAUUCAACAGCUGUUGAAAUGCAUGGCUGAGACAGGAGCUGGCUUAUCUUUCUGCUCUGCAGAUGUAAGGCCUUGAGAAGCGGCCAGUGUGGACAGUCACUCCUUGCAAACGCAGCUUGGCUGACCUGCAGCCCUGGAAGUGUUUUUUCUCCAUGAGUAUUUGUAAUAUUUGCACAUCUUUAAAACAUCUUGUCCUUGAAAUGAUAUCUAUUAUGUUUUUCCAUUUCAACUGAGAUUUUGAGCGAUGAUUUCUGCUGCCAGAUGACUUCCUGCCUUUGGCUGCUUUCCCAUGUGAAGUGCAGCCCACAGAGGGGUUUGGCACAGGGUGCUCAGCCUUUCUGCCUCAUGUAACCUGGUGGCACCUUGAGCCUUAUUCCUGGGUUGGGAUGAGAUUGGCAAUGUGACCGCGAGGCAUUCAGAAACCCUAGACAGGAGAGUGACCUGUGUAAUUUAUCAGUAGGCUUCUAAUUGUGAACUAGAAAAUAAAGAAUAAAAAGAGAGGCACAAUGUGGUUCUUUUGUUGUACGUAGUAGUUUGUGUUAAAACAUAACAUCCUUUUUACUGUUCACAGCUAAAUCUAUCUUUUGUGAAGAGUUCAAACAGAAACAUGUGAAUUUGGUUCCUCACGGGGAAAAAAUUGCAAUUGCUUUCUAGAGCAGAAUAGCAUCCAGUUGUCUUGUCUCAUGGAUAACCUGUGGAGGUUGGACUCGCCCAUCCCUGCUCAAAUGAAGCUGCGCUCCGUGGGGGUUUGCUGAAAUCCUACCUGGGGAUUUCAGCUGGGUUUGGCUAAAACUAUGCAAGGGAUGAGCCAGUACUGCUGUGCAGACCUGGGUAUUGAACUCUUUCAAUCUCCUGCACUCAUUUGAAGUGGGAUGGAUUAUUGCUGUUGUUAAAUGAAGGCAUUUUUACUUUCCGGUCCUAUUUCAGGUUGUCCAAGUACAGAGGCUCAGGUUUGCUGUCAUUAAAACACAAUGUUUUUGCAAAUAAGUAGUGAGUAGCUGACUCGGCUGCCUUGCUGGAUUUGAGGCAGGUGUUUUGGAUACCUUGUAAAUAGGUAGAGAGCAUUUGUGGAAUUAAAAGCAUGUUUGUUUUUUUCUAAUCUUGUGCUUUCCUUGUUUUUCCUAUGUAAUAAACGUUAUGAAUUGUGUUAAAAUUGCUGCACUUCUAGGAGAUGUUAUGUGGCAGUCUGUGAGCACUGGUGACGGAUCUCGGCUCUCAUUUUGGGUGGGAGGAACCAUGGACACAGCUGGCUCUGGUAGGCAGCAGGAAAAGAUGAUUUUACUCAAGAAAUCUCAAUCUGUGUAAACAAUUCCAUAUUUUUGAAGGCUGUUGGUGCUUCCGAGUAGAAGACUGAAACACUUCUCUCUGCAAAAUCCUUCUAGAAGAGAUUGUUGUGGAACAAUUGCCUUUUGAACGUUAAUGUGAGGGGGAAAUGUGUGGAAUAAAACCUCUGCAGCCCAAAAGCUGCACAGGAGGUGGCUUUGUACCCGCUGACCUAGUUCCCUGGUGGCCAGGCUCUCGUCUCCUCAUUUAUGAAGGGUGGAUUUGAAGUGCUCUGCCACUGGAGCAGCAUUUUGGUUUGAAGUUUUGGUGACCGUGAACUGGGGUGAGACAACGAGGGGCUCAUCUCAUGCACUCAGGAGCCCCUUCCUGGAAUGCCAGGGGAAGCAAGUCAAAAUGCGUAUUUCCAGGUGAUUUGAUGCUGUUGGGACAGUUUCUGUUGGCUGUAGGCCCACCUCAGCCUAUCCAUUUACCCCCAUCCAGCAGCUGGGCUGCUGUCGUGAAGCACGGCGGUGCCACGUUAACCGGGGUCCCAACACCCCGCAUCCUCCGAGACGCCCUCGUGAGGCGCUUUCCUAUUUACUGAAGGUUUUGAUUGGGGCGGGGGGGGUAUGAGCCUGCGCACCUCCGACCGGCAGGUGGCGCUGUGGUGCAGGGCGCCGCUCUGGCCGGCCGGAAGUGCCGCGGUGCACGUGGCUGUAGGAGAGGGCGGGGUCACUUGUGACUGCGGCGCCUCCUCAGAUGCUCGCGCGCUCCGCCACAGGGGAAGUCCGGGCUGUGCUCACGUGUGUGGCCGGGCCCUGUGCGGGGCUGGAUCUAGUGUGUGGGUCUCUCUCUCCCCCCUUUCUCCUCCCCCUUCCCCGGCUGGUACGAGGAGACUCUUUCCCGUGUGGGUAGCUAUGGAGCAGGCGCUCAGGUCCCUCGCCCGCAGGGCCGUGGGUCUGCCGUCCGCCGCCUGUAGCCGGUGCUUUGCGGCGGGCCCCACGCGGGACAAACGGCCCUCGCGGUUGUGCCAGGCUGCGGCCCGAGGCGGGGACGGCGCCCGCACCUUCCGUGGGGACCUCCACGCUGCGCGGGAGGGCUGGGGCUCGCCGGGGCGUGAGGCCUCGAAGGGCAGGAGGAGGCCGGAGGGAAGGCCUCUGCCCAUCGAGAGGACGAGGGGGACCGAGAUCCUGUUCGGAGUGGCGCCGUGCUCCAUGGCCCUGUCCCAGGCCCGGAGGGACCUGUUCAGGCUGUUCCUCAAGCGGAGCGGCGGCCCUCAGCGUCUCAUCACCAGCGAGUUCGUGCUGCAGGCCGCGGCCCGCGGGGUCCCCGUGCUCCACGUCGGGAGGAGGGAGCUGGAUGUGCUGUGCGGGGGCCGCGUCCACCAGGGAGUGUGCUUGGAAGCCACCCCGCUCCGCUUCAAGAGUCUGGAGGAGGCUGAGGAGCCCGGUUUGGGGAAUGGAGAGAGCCUGAACCGACGGCUGCUGUGGCUGGUCCUGGAGCAGAUCCAGGACCCCAUGAACCUGGGGGCUGUGCUGCGCUCUGCAUACUUCUUAGGGGUGGACAGAGUGGUGACGAGCCAGAGGAACAGCUGUCCCUUGACUCCAACAGUGAGCAAAGCAAGUUCUGGAGCUAUGGAAGUCUUCGAUGUCUACAGCACAGAUGAUCUCCGGAGCUUUUUGAAGGCUAAAGCUGCAGAAGGCUGGGAAGUUGUGGGAACAGUGAGCCAGUCUGAAGCUGUGGAAAAUGUUCCUGUCAUCAGCUGCUCGGAAUUUCAGUGGAAUAAACCCAUUAUUUUAGUAAUAGGUAGUGAAGGUGACGGCCUUUCCCUGGAGACGCAGCUGCUGUGCCAUCGCAUGCUGGUCAUCCCCCCCGGCAGGGCCCUGCACCCGGGCAUCGAGUCGCUGAAUGUCUCCGUGGCCACUGGCAUUCUCCUGCACUCCAUCUGCAGCCAAAAGCUGAGGCAUGGUGAUUGAUUUUUAUCCUGGCACGUGGUGGAAGUCACCCAGCCCAGAUCUUUGAUGGCAAGAAGCUGCUUGGUGUUCCGUGGCUGUGUUCAGUAUGGAUAUGGAAGUGCUCCUUCCAGGCUCUGCACCAUCUCUGCAACUUACAGGUACUUAAAUAUGAGGAGACCCUUCAUUAAGUUUGCUUGUGUCUGGGAAAACCACGUGCCCUCCGACCACGCUCAGCCAUGGCAGCUCACACCCCGACAGACAGGCAGAAGCUGCAACAUCAGCAGUGUUUCUCCUGCGCUCCACAAGUCUUAGCUCAGCUGUUUUCUCUGGAGAUCCAAAAUGUGGCCGCUGCAGAUCCUGGCAGUGCCACGCUCCAUGCCGAGCUGCGGGUCCUGCUGCGAGGCCGAUGUGUUGGGUAGCAGCAGCUCUCCUUAGCAGUCCUUAGCGCUGCCAUCAGCUGGUGGCACAGAGGGUCCAGAGCCCCGCGGGAAAUGCUCUUGACCAUCUGCUGCUGCUCUAAGAAACGAGUGUUGGAGAUUGUUUACUACCAGAAAUAUCAGAGGUAUCUGGGAUAGAUCACAGCAGAGUGUAAGGGCAGAGCACAGCCACUUGCAUAAAGCCAUGCCACAGUCACCACGAGCCUGGAGUUGGAAGCCGCUCAGUCAGCAGCAGCCUCCUCCCGUGGCGCUGGGAGCCUGCAGCACGCACACCGAGCCCCGGAGCGGUAGGAAAUACGUGGAUGGACACAGGGAUUUUGCUAUGGCCAAGCAGUAGGGACCAUUUGUGUGAUGCGGCUCAUCUUAAGGGACAGGGUACAGAGGAGCGAUGAAACGGGCUCCACGUGCUGGGGAAGCUGCCAGUGGGCGAGGAAAACUGCUCAGUGGAUGUCAACCAGAACCAACCCUGGGAAUCAGUUCCUUGCUCAGUGGCCUCUGCUGUGGAGGCAGCAAAGCAGAGGGCCACCUCGCUGCAGUCCCCUGUAGGCAAUUCUGCUGUAAGUUCAUUUAGGUGAGCUGUCUUUAGUUCCUUGCUCCGCUCGCUGUAAUUGCUUCUUCAGAGUAAUGCUACACCGCAGGCGCGGGGCUGCCGCCUGGCUGGCCUUCUACGGACAGAUGAAGGAAGGCAAGGCUGAAGUCAUCAGCAGAAGGUUCUGGAAACAUUCCCAGUCCUUGGCGUAUUCAUCAGGAUUGUUACAAUUCUGCUGCCGCAAAGAAGGAAGUAUCUUGUUCUCCUGUUAUUUAUUAGCAUGUGCUGUAGUGUGAGGGACCGUGCUGGGGAGGGGAGCCCUGCUGUGAGGGGCACUGGAUAAACACAGCCAAAAUGACAGUGACAGUCCUCACUGCAGAGCGUUAGCAAUUCAGACAGCCACGUCAGUCAGAGAAUCUGAGAGAUGGGAUGUAACACAAGCAAAGGGAGGAAUGUGACAGCUGGCAAACGCCGAGUGAGUUGCGUGAUUUUUUGUAGGUGUGUUCAUUCUUGAAGUACCUUGAAGGAAAUGCAAAUGACAUGUAUCCCGGGUAAGUCUAUGUGCAAGCAAGGCCUGUAGGAGCUUCAGGUUAGAGAUGUAGAAACUUCUUUAUCUUGUAGAAAGUGCUACCAAGAGGGCUUUUUGAAAAUUUGAGAAAAUCAUUGGAGGCAGGCCUGUUUUUGCCUAAGAGCACGGCAGGAUAGAUCACGGAGUCUGAGGAGCAGGGAGUCUUGUGCGAUUCUAUUAAUGAAAAGCAGAAGGAAGUAGUAGAACAGAAGCAGUGGAGCAAAUCCGAAAGUAAAUGCCCCACCAAACAAGCAAAAAUCUCACCGAACAAAAGCUGAUGAAUUUCCGAGGUAAAAUUUUUUGGCAGUCAGAAUGGGCUGAUGUUUCCUAAAGCAACCAAUUUAAUCCCUCCGUUCUGCAAAGGCAGUGUCAAACAAAAGAAAUCUGCUAAAUAUUUUCUAUUAGCCUGAAAUUUUGCCGUAGAGAAAAUGAUAACAUGGAAGGAAUUUCCUUGGGAAAGAAAAGAGAAAAGGGCGCUGCAGAAUUAUUUUAGUUUAGUCUGCAAUGCUAAAAAUGAAUUCUGGGGCAGGACAAUGAACUCAUACACGAAUAUUAAUUCUGCUUCCAAUCAUCCGAGGAGUUCAGUCACUGAAGCCCAUUCAUAGUCUGCCUGGUUCCGCAGGCUCAGAGGGAUGCUCCAAAAAAACUUCUUUGAAAAUCCCAAUCUAAACACAUUUGUGUCCAGCUUUAUAAAGAUCCUUCCGUGUGGCUGCAAAGAAUAAGUAAUUUCUAUCUGCAACACGUUAUGAAGUCCUCAGGAAGUAGGCACUAGGGCAGCGUAAAAUGGUUAUUUUAGCAGUAUCUUCUCUUACAAUUGCUUGUUCUCCAUCUCCACGGAGGGUGGCUGGCAGCACAGCGCCGCGGUGAUUUAAGCUCGCCAGGCUCCGGUGCUGGCUCUCAUGUGAAGUGCCUGAGCUGCUGUGCAGGACUUGGCCAUAAACUGCACAGCCCAAGGAAGAUGUCGCUUGUUUUCUAGGACAGGAUGAAAUCACCCCGUGUAUGUCCUCUGUCUAUUGCCUCUCCGGGCAGGGAAAACAUAAAUGCCUUUCCCAUCGUUUUAUUUAUUGCCUUUCUCUGUUUCCUGGGAAAAGACUAUUUUUAUUUUUUUAGCACUUUUGUGUGUGCGUGUGUGUCUGUGUGGGGUAAGCGUGUGUGUGUGUGUGUUUAGGAGGUUAAAAAAAAUUUCUUGCUGUCAGCAAGUGAUGUUACAAACCUGCUCUGACAAGGCUGGUUGUAUAUUUACAGUUGGUGAGAGCGAAGGCUUCAUCAAUCUUCACGCUUUGAAAGGGACAGGCCCGCUCCCAUGAGCACCUGCUCCGGGAGAACAGCUGAACUGUGACUUUCCAGGGAGCUAGCUGUAAAUUUUAGCCAUUCCCCCCGCAGCCCACGCAUGCUUGAGCUCUUUAACCUUCCCAGGCUGGCAGGAGUCCCAGCAAUCAGUUUAGUGCAAAGACUGGGGUUCUUUUUAAUUAACCUUUUGUUUCCCGCUGCAGGUGUUUCAAAGUUUCUUAAUGUUAAAAAGGAAGAGGAAAAAAACUGUUUGCAGAGGUGCAUCCACUCUCUUCCACUCUUGCUAUGCUCGGUGAUCAAAUGGGACCAGCCUUUCUCAUGUUUCUGCUCCUCAUUUGCCUCCUGCACGUAAGAUUAUAACAACAUCUUCUGAGAACCUCUGUAGGCAUCUACACAAAGAAUUCCCGUGAGCGUGUUUCAGUUUUGUCCUGCAAGGUCACACUUCCAUCCUUUGUGAGGCACCUGCUUUCCCGACCCGCUCCGCUUUCUCCAGGCAACUUUCUCUGGACACCUGACUCCCUGGCUCUGCCACCCUUUGGAUUCUCCCAUCAUAAGCAGCGUGUUGCGUUGCCUGCCUGGGAGCUCCUGCAGCCCUGCCUGUGUGGAGGAACAAGGAUGUGAUAAUAUUGGGUCCUGAAACUGCAAAUGCAGAACGAACCGAGAAGUAAAAGAAUUGACAAGACAAGCAGUGGUGGGAAAUGGAGGGAAGACUGUGAAAAAGGUUAUAAUAAAUAAUAAGAAAUGUUGCAUGGGCCAAAGGAAUAAUAGAUCAGCGAUGGAAAGACUCUAAAAGCUGCUGAGGGUUAUUUAUUGAUGGACAUUGUUUAAAAAAAAAAAAAAUCAGUGACAGUUUUCCUUCGUGUUCACAAAGGCAGAUGGCAGGGCAGGUGCCAGAAUGAAAGAUAAAUUUCCUUUUGCAUAAAGAAGAAAUAUUGAAGGAAACUGAGCAGAGGUGAUGGAGAAAUUAGAGCGUUGAAAGACCCUGAAAGCAUGUGGUCCAUGUCAACCCUCUCUCAGGAUUUUCAGCUGAGUCAGCAGAAAGCAGGAAAAACUGUUGCGGGAAAUGAGAACCUCUUUGAAGACCAGUAAUGGAGAGGUUCCUGCAAGUGUCAUGUCCGGAGGCCUGAGGAAAGCUUUCCAGGAAUUCAAAUUGGUGGUACAGAAGGUACCUGGCAUGGCUGAGCGGCCAAUGUGUGUCUUAAUCUGGGACUGCAGUAGAGAAAUAGUUAGGAGAAGUUAUGAAUUUAAUUAAGGGAAACCGCCAAAGAUUCAGAAAUUGGAUGCUGUGCCGAUAACGGGAGAAGAAAACUGACAGAAGGUUUCUGAGGAGUUUGUGCAGAUCAUGAGCCAGGGAGAGCCAAGAGAAAGAACUUGUGCAUCAGCAGCAAAGGUUGGGUGUAACACAGCCAAGAAGCGUAAUCUGGAGUGGAAGUGAUGAGUGUGGGACGUGGAAGUGCCUGGUCGAGCUUGGAGCUGGUGGUACACACACCGAGCUGCUGUGAAGAUGCACUGGUUUCUGUUGCCCUGGUUGUGAGCAGGGAGGUUGGAGGGACUGUGUGCAACCAGGUGAGUGGUUACAGAGUGAAUGUAACUGAGGGAAGUGCAGGAGAGACACGAGGAGGGGAACAAACGCUGCAGGACCUGAGAGCACCUGGCCUGGCUGGGGAGCCAGCAGGGAGGGUCCACCCCAAGGCCGGCAGCUGUGCUCCUGCAACAAGUGCCAGGACGUUCUAAUUAGCAGCCCUCUAAUCAUCCCUGCAGCAGGUGAGUGCAAAUUAAAUGGCUGUCGUCAAACAUGGUGACUCAGACUUGCCAAUGGCAAACCAGGAGGAAAACUGUUGAUCGGAAAGUGGAAUUCGUCUUUGGGGGGAAACAGCAUCAUUUUGGGUCCAUUCAUCUGGUAUCCAAACAGCAUUAAAUCACUCAUUAUCAUCGUGCUCCCAGUCAGCAGUUAAUGGGGACUACCAGGAAGGAUCCGGGGGCUUUGCUCACUGCAUCUCCUCGUGUCUUUGUUUCAGGAAAGCCGCCUGCCCUUCUACAGCAGGGGAACGUGGCAGCCUGGACCCACGUUUGCACACUCGGCUGCAGCCCACAAACCCCACCCUGUUGGAUGAAACCCCUCAGAAAGUGCCAUGAGGUGUUGGCCAUCACGGGGGGCACGUGGGGGCCUUCCUCAGAGCUCAGCGGGGGGUCUGCGGUGUUUAAAAAAAAAAAAAAAA